rnacentral:misc_RNA from 1 species
AAUUAUGUGUAUACUUCAGAACAGCUGUUGUUGCCUUCUUGUAGAUCGCAACUCCAUUCAGUCUGCUGCUAGCCCGUAAUCACACCUCGGAGACGGUUGGUUUGAAUCUGGGGUCUUGUCUGCAAUUUUAAGCUUCGGCUGCCUAAGGAGCUAGCAGGUUAUAGCAUCGCAGACCGUGAUGAGAGAAUAAGUCGAUGAAUCAUAAAGAAGACUUCAAUAGAAUCAGGUGGAACAUGCAGAGAAGACACGAAUGAAGAUGGUGUGUCCUUGACCUUCUAAAGAAUAAUGUCUUCAAGUCCAUGGGUAUCCGUUACGACGACGGUCUUCGCAGAUCACCAGUACCACUAUAACGAAACAGAACUCCAAACAAGUCACCCACUUCCAGUUAGCGAUCUGCUCUCGUCAACCGGUUUCCAUGGCAACACGUCCAACGUGACCUCACCGAGCUACGAUCACGUGCACACCAGCUGGACUUUGGUGGAGACGGUGGUCUUUGCAACAUGGCUGAUCAUUUCCAUGGUUUUUACCGUUGGGGGAAACUUCAUGGUGAUUGCGGUGGUAUGGAGACACAGGGGAAUGCGGACAAGAACUAAUAUGUUUAUAGUGAACUUGGCCAUAGCGGACUUUUUGAUUGGAAUUCUAUUGGCGCCCAUUUCCCUGACCACGUUGAUUUCACACGACUGGAUACUAGGGGAUGAAAUGUGUUUCUUAAACAGCUUUUUGAAUGCCGUCUGCUUUUUGACAUCUCUACAAACGCUAAUGUAUAUAAGUAUUCAUAAGUAUUUAUCAAUAACCCGUCCAUUGUUACGCAUCACUAAGUGCAAAAUCCUUAUCAUGAUCAUGGCCGCCUGGCUAUGGGGAAUUAUAUGUGCCGCCCUGACCACUAAAAUUCUAAGUCAUUAUGAGUAUAAACCCAGAACCAUGCAAUGUGGACCGGCGUAUCCAACAUUUACAGCUCAAUCUAUCAUUUUUCAUUUCAUCAUCGGGAUAUCAAACCUUUAUUUACCGCUAGGAAUUAUGUUGUUUUGCUACAUACGGAUAUUUCAAGAAAUAAAAAAGCACAUGCAGAGAAUGGACGAAAAUUCGGCUAUGGACCGGAAUCAGAUUUUCUCGCAACAACGCCGAGUGACUGUUACCCUCUUCAUUGUGCUAGCCUGCUUUGUUUUGUGUUGGCUGCCAUAUUGUGUGUACUCAAACUACGUCACUUUUGUGGAGGAUAAGACGACAAUACCAGCAUGGGCCAAUGGAGUUGCGUAUUGCGCCGGGUACAUGAACAGCGCGUGUAACCCCAUUAUAUACGCCUGGAGGAGCCCUUCGUUUAGGGAGGGAUACAAGGAAAUCCUCUGUCAGGAGCCUUCCUAUGUCGUCAGUGACGGGCCCUUAGGACCAAGGAUUCGCGUUCUCGCCAAAGUCGAGAGUAUGGGAAACAUUCCUGAGCGCCUUAUGGCGGUCAGAAAACACUGACACAAUGCACGAUAGCUCGCCCGGUCCACGGAGGCGGAUCUCGCUUUUCAUCAACUCCGUCAGAGCGUCUCACCGCGGAUCUAGAAUGGGGUCUGACGAUUCAUUAUCCCACUACUCGCUUCAUAGCCUCAACAAAGCACACAAAGCAAACAAAGCCAACGACUCCUCAACACACAAGCUGCUACGCAAGCUCACCGGUAAAACGGCCAAAGGUAGUUCCAUCAUCAAGCGGGAUGGGUCCGUAAUUCUAGUGAAAAAUGGCAAAAUUGUUUCAAUGCGCGAGGAUGUGCGCAGAAGGAACCCAUCCGGUGAUCUGGACGAUGUUUUUCUUCCCUGCUCGUCUCCCCUGGCGGACAAGUAUAAAAACGGAACUCGUCCUCCCCUUAUAAGGCAACCAAAUCUGAACAUUCUGUAUGAAAGUAACUCAGAAAGAGUAGUAUUAGGGCAGGCGAAAGAGAAUGGGUCUGCAUUAAGGUGUCGCUCUAUAUCAGAGGAAGACGUGAAAUCCAGCACACACUCCAUAGAGAAAGUUAAUUCCAGUGCACCAAAUAUCGAAAUCUUGAUUUCGGAAGCGACAAACGCAGAUGAGACUCAGACAGUGACUGAUAAUUUGUGUCCUCAAUGUCAGAGGUUAUCUACCUUUAAACCUUUGGAAACCCGAUGUUCCCACGGGUUGUUCCCGAGCCCCGUGACCAUCCGACGAUCACGUAGUGAUACAAUACGUCAGAGCGCCAGUAAUUCACCGGAAGAAACUGUUCAUUUAUUGUCAAAGAGCGACCAAAAUGUGUACAAGUUACCUCUUUUGGCGUCGCCGUCGUCACCAUCUUUUGAACGCUUGAAAACGCAUUCGCAAACAAACGGGACCGCGAGUGAUGGUGAAAUUAAUGUGAACGUGCCGCUUUAUACAAGACGGUGGUUAAAAAAAAAUGUUAAUAGCGUGCAAACGUGAUAGUAUUCCCCCGUGUAAAACUGUGUAUUUUUGAUUUUGAUUUUAAACUGUAUGUGAUUUACGACUGGAAUUAGAAGCAAUAGUUGUCAUUAUGAUUUAAAGCAAUAUAUUUACAUGUGCGUGAAAUAUCCUUUACAAAGUCUGGCGCUGUUGUAAGUACUGAGAAGGACUGAGGACAUGUUUAACCGACCGGAAGUUUGCUACCGAACAAUUUAUUAGUCACUUGAAUGUUAGCAUGUUAAAAACUGUGCAGUAUUACUUUUGCAAUUCAGAAUUGUACAGUGUGCUUAUAUUACAUGUACUUACAUCACAUUUUCAUCUAAUGAAUAGCUGGUAAAGAAAAAUAUUAGAUCUAGGUAAAAUGUCGUAAAUUAAGAAAACCAUGCAACCAUUGCUUAGAUAUGUGUUCAAUAUAUUUCCUGCACGUGGAUAAGUUGCAAAACACUGAGUUCAAUUUUUAAAGUAAAAGUUUGAUCUUUGUUGUAUUUUUUGUGAAAUAUUUUAUAAUUACGGAAAUCAGUUCUGAUUUUUUAAAAUUUUGUAUGAAAGAUUUUAUAUGUAUACUCAGAAUAAAUUUAAAUUUUAGGAAAGAUUUAUUUUCAAAUCCUGGGACAUGUUGUAAAAUAUUUGUGUUAUAUGUUUUUAUUACAGAGAUGUAAAUGUACGUUAGAAUGGAAAAAAAUAAAAACGUUUUAUAG